GAUGAACGCUGGCGGCGUGCUUAACACAUGCAAGUCGAACGGUGAAGCAGAGCUUGCUCUGUGGAUCAGUGGCGAACGGGUGAGUAACACGUGAGCAACCUGCCCCUGACUCUGGGAUAAGCGCUGGAAACGGCGUCUAAUACUGGAUAUGAGCUGCGACCGCAUGGUCAGCAGUUGGAAAGAUUUUUCGGUCUGGGAUGGGCUCACGGCCUAUCAGCUUGUUGGUGAGGUAAUGGCUCACCAAGGCGUCGACGGGUAGCCGGCCUGAGAGGGUGACCGGCCACACUGGGACUGAGACACGGCCCAGACUCCUACGGGAGGCAGCAGUGGGGAAUAUUGCACAAUGGGCGAAAGCCUGAUGCAGCAACGCCGCGUGAGGGAUGACGGCCUUCGGGUUGUAAACCUCUUUUAGCAGGGAAGAAGCGAAAGUGACGGUACCUGCAGAAAAAGCGCCGGCUAACUACGUGCCAGCAGCCGCGGUAAUACGUAGGGCGCAAGCGUUAUCCGGAAUUAUUGGGCGUAAAGAGCUCGUAGGCGGUUUGUCGCGUCUGCUGUGAAAUCCCGAGGCUCAACCUCGGGUCUGCAGUGGGUACGGGCAGACUAGAGUGCGGUAGGGGAGAUUGGAAUUCCUGGUGUAGCGGUGGAAUGCGCAGAUAUCAGGAGGAACACCGAUGGCGAAGGCAGAUCUCUGGGCCGUUACUGACGCUGAGGAGCGAAAGGGUGGGGAGCAAACAGGCUUAGAUACCCUGGUAGUCCACCCCGUAAACGUUGGGAACUAGUUGUGGGGUCCAUUCCACGGAUUCCGUGACGCAGCUAACGCAUUAAGUUCCCCGCCUGGGGAGUACGGCCGCAAGGCUAAAACUCAAAGGAAUUGACGGGGACCCGCACAAGCGGCGGAGCAUGCGGAUUAAUUCGAUGCAACGCGAAGAACCUUACCAAGGCUUGACAUAUACGAGAACGGGCCAGAAAUGGUCAACUCUUUGGACACUCGUAAACAGGUGGUGCAUGGUUGUCGUCAGCUCGUGUCGUGAGAUGUUGGGUUAAGUCCCGCAACGAGCGCAACCCUCGUUCUAUGUUGCCAGCACGUAAUGGUGGGAACUCAUGGGAUACUGCCGGGGUCAACUCGGAGGAAGGUGGGGAUGACGUCAAAUCAUCAUGCCCCUUAUGUCUUGGGCUUCACGCAUGCUACAAUGGCCGGUACAAAGGGCUGCAAUACCGUGAGGUGGAGCGAAUCCCAAAAAGCCGGUCCCAGUUCGGAUUGAGGUCUGCAACUCGACCUCAUGAAGUCGGAGUCGCUAGUAAUCGCAGAUCAGCAACGCUGCGGUGAAUACGUUCCCGGGUCU
rnacentral:rRNA from 1 species